rnacentral:rRNA from 1 species
GUAGGGGGCUAGCGUUGUCCGGAAUCAUUGGGCGUAAAGCGCGUGUAGGCGGCCCGGUAAGUCCGCUGUGAAAGUCGGGGGCUCAACCCUCGGAUGCCGGUGGAUACUGUCGGGCUUGAGUGCGGAAGAGGCGAGUGGAAUUCCUGGUGUAGCGGUGAAAUGCGCAGAUAUCAGGAGGAACACCGAUUGCGAAGGCAGCUCGCUGGGACGUGACUGACGCUGAGACGCGAAAGCGUGGGGAGCAAACAGGAUUAGAUACCCUGGUAGUCCACGCUGUAAACGAUGGGCACUAGGUGUGGGGGGUGUCGACUCCCUCCGUGCCGAAGCUAACGCAUUAAGUGCCCCGCCUGGGGAGUACGGCCGCAAGGCUAAA